rnacentral:rRNA from 1 species
CACGUAGGACGGCAUGGUAAGUCAAAGGUGAAAGCCCUCGGCUCAACCGAGGAACUGCCUUUGAAACUGCUUUGCUUGAGUCCGGGAGGGGGAGCGGAAUUCCCAGUGUAGCGGUGAAAUGCGUAGAUACUGGGAGGAACACCGGUGGCGAAGGCGGCUCCCUGGACCGGUACUGACGCUGAGGUGCGAAAGCGUGGGUAGCAAACA